CUUACAAAAACAAAAUAAACAUUAGCUCUCUAGCUUACGUACUCGUCGAGAAAAUGACACUUGAACGUGAUCGACGAACUUCAAUUUGUACACUCCAAGCUGUUGGGCGUCUCCAAGAUACCCGUCUACACCGUUAGCAAGCCCGAAACGUAAGAGAGGGCAAAAGGACUCUGUCAAAAAAGCCAAACAUGACCUGAAAAAGUUAAAGAAAACAGCGUAGGCCAAUCUUCUAAAGUCUAUGAUGGCCCAUGCAAGAGAUAUCGCGGUUUUACACAAGUCUGUCCAGAGAUCUAUAAAAAAUCCCCUACAGCCCUGAUGCCAAACCCCUCGACAUGUAUCCAAAAGGAGUAGUCAAGGGGAAAGCCUGCAGUGUCAGUCAUCCAAGCACGCCCACAAUGCCUUUUAAAGCCAGCACUAUGACACCUUGACAGAGGACUACAUCUACAGCCAGUUCCAAGCCAUUCGCCGUCUGGAAUCCAUCAUUGCUGCUAAGGGCACCCACAUUAA
rnacentral:lncRNA from 1 species